UUCCUUUCGAAAUGGGAUCCAGUGAGAGUCAGGCCUAAGACUUUUGCUGUCCCUUAGGGUUAGGGUGAGCCUUGACUGUUGGCGGCCAUCUUGUCACCAAAUGGGAAGAGCCUCUUCCAGAAGGACCCCAACACCAAAGACAGCUCAGUAAGGGAAGGAUAAUGCCAAUUCCUUGUGAUGUUGUUUCGGCACCUGGAUCCAGCCAGGCCUGAACGCAAUAAUAUUGUACGUAUACAAAGCGCUUGCUUCAGCGUCGUUUGUGGUGAUGAAAGAUGGAGAAAAAGCCAGCAACAAAAGGCCCCGUUGAGUAAAUGAGGGUACGUGCCCCCAGCGGGAUACCACGCGACUGCUGAAGACGGGGCAGCUGUGUGCCCAGACAGGGGAACGUUCUCUACCGGGCGGGACAUUGGACAUUGAACUUCAGACACUGAACCUCUGCGUCUGUCCCCGAGGUUGCUUCCUCUGGGGGAGCCAGCCGCCGCACGACGUUUCGUGACCUCGGGGCCACUGCAUGGCGGGGUACCCCAGGCCACGUGAGACAGGAGGAAGGUUUAAGAGCCAGUGGGUGGCUCGCCAUUCGGCCAUUCUCCUGCCACAAAAAAAAUGGGGAGAGAAGAUUCUAGAAACCCUCUCGGAGAACUGCGUGCGUGGCUCUUGACUUUAUUCCACUGAAACUCAUCUACUCGAGAGGUGGUAGCCGAAAAUGGCAGCGUGGACAGCGGGGUUUGCGAGAAAACCUGUUGAGGGACAUGGUCUUUCCCCUCGACUGACGUGGGCCCCGUGGAUGGGCUCCUACAGGCUUUUGGCUGGAAGCCAGUAGAGGGAGCCCGGAGAUACGUGCUCAGAGGCAGAUGCUGAGCAAAGAGCAUGAGCUGUGUGUCAGUCAGCUGGGGCUGCCGCGACCAAGUGCCCCAGAUGGAGUGGCUGACACAACAGACAUCUGUUGUCUCAGUUCUGGAGAUAAACACGAGACCAGGGUGUGGGCAGACUUGGGUCCUUCUGAGGCCGUGAUGGAGAAUCAGUUCCAUGCCUCUGCCCUAGUUUCUGGCGAGUUGCUGGCAAUAUUGGGAGUUCGUGGCUUACAGAAGCAUCACCCCGGGUCUCUGCCCUCAGCGUUCGCCCUGUGCACGUCUGUGCCCAACUUGUCCCUUUCAUAUGGAAAACCGGUCAUACUGGGUUAGGACCCACGCAAAUGACCUCAUGUUAACUAAUCACAUCUGCAAAGACCCUGUUUCCAAAUAAGUCACGUUCUGUGCUGUUGUGUGUUAGGAUUGCAACAUUAGAAUUUUGGGGUGUAUCUUCGUUCUUUUGACCGCUAUAGCAAAAUACGAUACACUGGGUAUCGUUUAAACAACAGGCAUUUAUUUCUCAUGGUUCUGGAAGCCAGGAAGUCAAAGAUCAAGGCACUAGCAGGGUAAGCGUCUGUUGAGAACCUGCUUUCUGGUUCAUAGCGUCUUCUCGCUGUGUGCUCACCGGCCAGAAGGGGCAAGGGUGCUCCCUGGGGCCCCUUUUAUUAGGGCCCUGAUGCGGUUAGUGUGGGCUUCACCCUCAUUUCCUGAUCCUCUCUCGAAGGCCCCACCUCCUAAUGCAAUCACAUUGGGGUUAAGUGUCAACAUACAAGUUUUCUGUAGAGGGACACAAAUAUUCAGACCGUAACAGGGGGACACAGUUCAACCCAUGACAGCCUACAUCAAGGGCAGGCUAGUUCACAGAGGCUCCCCCUCACCAAACCGCCCACCCCCAAGGAGAAGUAGGAGGAGGAAGCAUGACAGCUCACAGUGGGCAACAGGGGAGGACGUGGUCAAGGACAUGAGAGGGCAGCACGGCAGGCCUCCCCACCCCCACUGCCCCAGGCAUCCAGCCUGAAGCCUUGGGGAGGGGGGAAGCUUUAACUAGGACAGGAUUGUGGAGGGGAGUCACCUGGAUACUGGUUGGGGUUAUUUUAAUGACUGUAUUGGGUUUAAUGAUGUUCCCUCCAGAUUCAUGUCAGAAUACAUCAGGUCAGAAUAUGACCUGAUUUGGAAACGGGGCCUAGGCAGGUGCAACCAGUUAUAGGGUUGGCCCUAAAUCCAGCGGCUGGUACCCUUAAGAGGAGAGGACACAGAGACACAGAAGGCCACGUAAUGACAGAGGCAGAGAUUGCAGUAGGGAAGGCCAGGGACUGCCGACGGCCACCAGAAGCCCGAAGCCUGGAACAGAUUCUCCAUCACAGCCUCCAGCAAGAGCCAGCCCAGCCGACGCCUUGAUCUCAGACUUCAGGCCUCUAGAACCGCGACAGAAUGAGUUUCUGUUUCCAGCCACCUGGUCUGGGGUACUGUGGUACGGCAGCCCUUGGGAAUGUGACACGGUGACCGGAACGAGAUUUUGAAGAUGAUUAUCAUCUGAGAAUGACUCUCAAAGUUGUCAUUCUUGCCAACAUGCUGUGCACUUGGAAGAGAGCAGCUGUGAAAGAUAAUGAAGGCCCCUUAUCUCGUGAUGCUCCCUGAGCCUUGUUCCAGCAGUGAAGUGGUUACUGCAUAGUGAUAAACAUCAUUACCAUAUAGCUGCACUGUUUAUAUAUUUAUUAUAUAGAGAAUACAAAUGUCGAUAUAAUUAAUACAUAGUUACAGUAUAUCUGUACUAUGUUAUGUAUAUGUCCAUACCACAUAAAUAUCAUUACAUCUGCAAUAGAUAGAUAGAUAGUAUGUGUGUGUAUAUAUAUAUAUAUAUGUAUAUAUAUAUAUGUGUGUGUGUGUGUAUAUAUAUAUACACACACACACAUGCCAUUACAUCUGUACUGUAUCAUAUCUGCUCUCUAUAAUUACACAUGGACUAUAUUAUGACAUCUGUACUAUAUAUACACAAUUGGAUCUGUACUAUUGUACUCUCUCUAUAUAGUUCUAGCCAUGUGUAUUGUUAUAUCUGCACUAUAU